GACGAACGUUGGCGGCGUGCUUAACACAUGCAAGUCGAACGGAAAGGCCCUGCUUUUGUGGGGUGCCCGAGUGGCGAACGGGUGAGUAACACGUGAGUAACCUGCCCUUGACUUUGGGACAACUUCAGGAAACUGGGGCUAAUACCGGAUAGGAGCUCCUGCUGCAUGGUGGGGGUUGGAAAGUUUCGGCGGUUGGGGAUGGACUCGCGGCUUAUCAGCUUGUUGGUGGGGUAGUGGCUUACCAAGGCUUUGACGGGUAGCCGGCCUGAGAGGGUGACCGGCCACAUUGGGACUGAGAUACGGCCCAGACUCCUACGGGAGGCAGCAGUGGGGAAUAUUGCACAAUGGGCGGAAGCCUGAUGCAGCAACGCCGCGUGCGGGAUGACGGCCUUCGGGUUGUAAACCGCUUUCGCCUGUGACGAAGCGUGAGUGACGGUAAUGGGUAAAGAAGCACCGGCUAACUACGUGCCAGCAGCCGCGGUGAUACGUAGGGUGCGAGCGUUGUCCGGAUUUAUUGGGCGUAAAGGGCUCGUAGGUGGUUGAUCGCGUCGGAAGUGUAAUCUUGGGGCUUAACCCUGAGCGUGCUUUCGAUACGGGUUGACUUGAGGAAGGUAGGGGAGAAUGGAAUUCCUGGUGGAGCGGUGGAAUGCGCAGAUAUCAGGAGGAACACCAGUGGCGAAGGCGGUUCUCUGGGCCUUUCCUGACGCUGAGGAGCGAAAGCGUGGGGAGCGAACAGGCUUAGAUACCCUGGUAGUCCACGCUGUAAACGGUGGGUACUAGGUGUGGGGUCCAUUCCACGGGUUCCGUGCCGUAGCUAACGCUUUAAGUACCCCGCCUGGGGAGUACGGCCGCAAGGCUAAAACUCAAAGGAAUUGACGGGGCCCCGCACAAGCGGCGGAGCAUGCGGAUUAAUUCGAUGCAACGCGUAGAACCUUACCUGGGUUUGACAUGGAUCGGGAGUGCUCAGAGAUGGGUGUGCCUCUUUUGGGGUCGGUUCACAGGUGGUGCAUGGCUGUCGUCAGCUCGUGUCGUGAGAUGUUGGGUUAAGUCCCGCAACGAGCGCAACCCUUGUUCACUGUUGCCAGCACGUUAUGGUGGGGACUCAGUGGAGACCGCCGGGGUCAACUCGGAGGAAGGUGGGGAUGACGUCAAGUCAUCAUGCCCCUUAUGUCCAGGGCUUCACGCAUGCUACAAUGGCUGGUACAGAGAGUGGCGAGCCUGUGAGGGUGAGCGAAUCUCGGAAAGCCGGUCUCAGUUCGGAUUGGGGUCUGCAACUCGACCUCAUGAAGUCGGAGUCGCUAGUAAUCGCAGAUCAGCAACGCUGCGGUGAAUACGUUCCCGGGGCU
rnacentral:rRNA from 1 species